GAUGAACGCUGGCGGCGUGCCUAAUACAUCCAAGUCGAGCGAACGGACGAGAAGCUUGCUUCUCUGAUGUUAGCGGCGGACGGGUGAGUAACACGUGGAUAACCUACCUAUAAGACUGGGAUAACUUCGGGAAACCGGAGCUAAUACCGGAUAAUAUUUUGAACCGCAUGGUUCAAAAGUGAAAGACGGUCUUGCUGUCACUUAUAGAUGGAUCCGCGCUGCAUUAGCUAGUUGGUAAGGUAACGGCUUACCAAGGCAACGAUGCAUAGCCGACCUGAGAGGGGGAACGGGCAAACUGGAACUGAGAACAGGUCCAGGCUCCUACGGGAGGGCGCAGUUGGGAAUCUUCCGCAAUGGGCGGAAGCCUGACGGAGGAACGCCGCGUGAGUGAUGGAGGGCUUCGGAUUGUAAAACUCUGUUAUUAGGGAAGAACAUAAGGGGAAGUAACUGUGCACAUCUUGAAGGGACCCAAACAGAAAGCCAAGGCCAACCACGUG
rnacentral:rRNA from 1 species